AGGAUGUAAGUUUAUUAACACCUCAUUUGCAUUGAGGAAACGCACUCUCGCACAGAGUGCACAUCUUG
rnacentral:tRNA from 1 species